rnacentral:lncRNA from 1 species
UCAUGGAACAAUGGGGUCAUGGAAGAGUGGGAUCAUGGAACAAUGGGGUCAUGGAACAAUGGGGUCAUGGAACAAUGGGGUCAUGGAAAGGUGGGAUCAUGGAACACUGGGGUCAUGGAAGAGUGGGGUCAUGGAAGAGUGGGGUCAUGGAACGGUGGGGUCAUGGAACGGUGGGAUCGUGAAGAGUGGGAUCGUGAAGAGUGGGAUCGUGAAGAGUGGGGUCGUGGAAGAGUGGGAUAGUGGAAGAGUGGGAUCGUGGAAGAAUGGGGUCAUGGAAGAGUGGGGUCAUGGAAGGGUGGGAUCGUGGAAGAGUGGGAUCGUGGAAGAGUGGGGUCGUGGAAGAGUGGGGUCAUGGAAGGGUGGGGUCGUGGAAGGGUGGGGUCAUGGAACGGUGGGGUCAUGGAACGGUGGGGUCAUGGAACGGUGGGGUCAUGGAACGGUGGGGUCAUGGAAGAGUGGGGUCAUGGAAGAGUGGGGUCAUGGAAGAGUGGGGUCAUGGAAGAGUGGGGUCAUGGAAGAGUGGGGUCAUGGAACGGUGGGGUCAUGGAACGGUGGGGUCAUGGAACGGUGGGGUCAUGGAACGGUGGGGUCAUGGAAGAGUGGGAUCGUGAAGAGUGGGGUCGUGGAAGAGUGGGGUCGUGGAAGAGUGGGGUCAUGGAAGAGUGGGGUCGUGGAAGGGUGGGGUCAUGGAAGAGUGGGGUCAUGGAACAAUGGGGUCAUGGAACAAUGGGAUCAUGGAACGGUGGGAUCAUGGAACAAUGGGGUCAUGGAAGAGUGGGAUCAUGGAACA